UAACAAAGGAAAAAGAAAAGAAAAGAAAAAUGCAGCCGUGAAUAAAGUCAUUUGAAGUAUGUUUAAGCUUCUUGGUAAAAAGGAAAUAUAAUGAGAAUUUAUAGAUCAAAGGAGCCGCUGGUGAUCUCCAUCAUAUAUUUAUUGUAAUUUAUAGCUCAUCGGUACUAAGGCACUAGCAUACAGAGUACAUUGUAGUAAAAAACAAGACUAGUAGUUAAGGAACAAGGAUGGUGUCACUGGUGAUGGUUGGUGUUCAUACGGAGAGAGGCGCAGAAAGGGCAAACUGAAGACUCCAAAGCUCGAAAGUUCCUUUAAUGAAAUCGUAGUAACCACCCUUCAGUGCCAGAGUUUUGUUCACCAAGCCAGUUCUCACAAAUGGAUAACUUAGCAGGUUUCCAAGGGAUACAUUCACUGCUUCCUGAAAUCAUGAUGCACCAUUUUUGGUUAGAAAACUUGUGGAUCAUCCCCUAUAAACUUACAUGCACGACUCAAAUUCAAGUGGAAGGAACUGCCAUGUUAUUAUUAUUACUAAAAAGGGUUUUGUUUCAUAAUCUCUUCUGAUUGCAAUUAACUUUGACAUGGUUUUCUUCUACUAGAUGUUGUGACCUCCUGGAGUUUUAACAGGCAAUAUGCAGUCAACAAUCAUUCCAAAGGGAAAGUGUAAAAGGUAAGAGGUAACACAGCAAAGAAGUUGAGAAAGGUGUCAACC
rnacentral:lncRNA from 1 species